rnacentral:rRNA from 1 species
GAUGAACGCUAGCGGCAAGCUUAAUACAUGCAAGUCGAGGGGCAGCACGGGAGCAAUCCUGGUGGCGACCGGCAAACGGGUGCGGAACACGUACGCAACCUUCCCAUAACUGGUGAAUAGCCUUUCGAAAGAGAGAUUAAUACACCGUAACAUAAUGAAGUGGCAUCACUUUAUUAUUAUAGGCAGCAAUGUCGGUUUUGGUAUGGGCGUGCGCCUGAUUAGGAGUUGGCGGGGUAACGGCCCACCAAGCCUGCGAUCAGUAACUGGUGUGAGAGCACGACCAGUCACACGGGCACUGAGACACGGGCCCGACUCCUACGGGAGGCAGCAGUAAGGAAUAUUGGUCAAUGGACGCAAGUCUGAACCAGCUAUGCCGCCGUGAAGGAUGAAGGCCCUCUGGGUUGUAAACUUCUUUUAUCUGGACGAAAAAGACUCUUUCUAG